AACACCUGCCACACAGGUGGAAUUGAACUGCUGGGUGCAGUGGGAACUCCUGGUGCAAGGUGGGUAGUUAAAUUGAUUUAACAAAGCCAUGUGUGACUGAGGACUGCCUGUGCUCUUCUGCAGGUGGGAGUGGGACUGAAAAGGAAGACUGCAAGAGAUUGAUGUCCUGGUACCUACAUGAGGAGAUUUGGAUGAAGCCUCACUGACCUAGCAGAGGAUGUGAUGGAUGGCAGUGGAGGUCAUUGCUGAACUAAGUUCUCCAAAGGGAAAAGCACUGCUGAGCGAGUCAUAAAAAACCAGUUCCUCUGCUGAGAAGUUACCCAUUACUCUUUCCUGCAGAGAAAAUUAAACCCAAGCUAUCUGGCAGUCCCAGCUCUGCAGCACAUUCCAGCUACUGAACUGUGUCAUACUGUUUUAAAAGAAGAACUCUAGAGCAUCUCCUGAAAUGGAAGCAGCUGUGACUUUUUAAGUGCAAAGGAAUCA